GUGCUCGCUUCAGCAGCACAUGUAAUAAAAGUGGAAUGCUACAGAGAUUAGCAUGCCCCCUGUGCAAGUAUGACAUGCAACCUUGUGAAGUGUUCCAUAUUUUU
ensembl:snRNA U6 U6 spliceosomal RNA